CCUACGGGAGGCAGCAGUGAGGAAUAUUGGUCAAUGGACGAGAGUCUGAACCAGCCAAGUAGCGUGAAGGAUGACUGCCCUCUGGGUUGUAAACUUCUUUUAUAUGGGAAUAAAAUGUUCCACGUGUGGGAUUUUGUAUGUACCAUAUGAAUAAGGAUCGGCUAACUCCGGGCCAGCAGCCGCGGUAAUACGGAGGAUCCGAGCGUUAUCCGGAUUUAAUGGGUUUAAAGGGAGCGUAGGUGGAUUGUUAAGUCAGUUGUGAAAGUUUGCGGCUCAACCGGAAAAUUGCAGUUGAAACUGGCAGUCUUGAGUACAGUAGAGGUGGGCAGAAUUCGUGGUGUAGCGGUGAAAUGCGUAGAUAUCACGAAGAACUCCGAUUGCGAAGGCAGCUCACUGGACUGAAACUGACACUGAGGCUCGAAAGUGUGGGUAUCAAACAGGAUUAGAUACCCCUGUAGUC
rnacentral:rRNA from 1 species